AUUCAAAUAAGAUGUCACAAAUAUAUCAUGCAACUCUAUCUCUAGUUGCUUCACUUCAUGUUUCAGUGAUACCCUUGAAAGAAAUGGAGCGAUUCUUCUCUGACACAAAACCAAGAUUCUGAUUCUCUGACCUAAGGAGACACAGACGAUAUACUGUUAUCUCCUUAUGGGAAUGGAUCCCAGCAGCAUCCAACACAAUGCCUUGUGUAUAGUGGCAUCUUAAGGAAAUAUCUGUGGUCUUGGUUUGACUUAACUCUUACAUUCUAAGGGUUUUGUGAGGCUAUGAAGAAACUAAGAGCGUAUGCAUGUGUCAUUUGCCGGGAAAGGACCUCGAACAUCAUGAGGAAAGUAAUCAGGCAAAUACAAGUGAAGAAAUCAUAGCUGUGUUUGAAGAGGAGGACAUUUAGAAGAUAAUGAAAGUUUGGUCUUCAAGGAACAAGGACUCAGCAUCGUUUUGAAGUCCAAUUACUGGGGAUUCGCUGGCACGAAGAAAUGGUAUGUGCCCUUGACCCUGUUCCCGUUUCCCACUGUGAUUGUGAGUAAAAGAGGU